AUUGAACGCUGGCGGCAGGCCUAACACAUGCAAGUCGAACGAGUGGCGGACGGGUGAGUAAUGCCCGGGAAACUGCCUGAUGGAGGGGGAUAACUACUGGAAACGGUAGCUAAUACCGCAUACUAUUGGACGUGCCCAGAUGGGAUUAGCUAGUAGGCGGGGUAAAGGCUAACCUCGGCGACGAUCCCUAGCGGGUCUGAGAGGAUGACCGGCCACACUGGAACUGAGACACGGGCCAGACUCCUACGGGAGGCAGCAGUGGGGAAAAUUGCACGAUGGGCGAAAGCCUAAUGCAGCCAUGCCGCUUGUAUGAAGAAGGCCUUCGGGUUAUAAAGUACUUUCAGCGGGGAGGCGUUACCCGCAGAAGAAGCACCGGCUAACUCCGUGCCAGCAGCCGCGGUAAUUC
rnacentral:rRNA from 1 species